UCAGACUUGAUUAGACGUGGUAGGUCGAUGACGACUGCACCGAGUUCGGAUCCCCCGGCUCAGUCGGCAUCUGUUGCCACAGCUCCAGCUUUGAUGGAGCACGUGCUGGUUGGUCCCGGGGCGUCCCAGGCGCCAGCGUCAUCUGCGUCAUCCGUCGCGCAGCCAGCUAGUGCUAGGCGGCGGCACCGGCCUGCCGACACCACCGAGACGACAUCGACCGAGGGUACUGGUGCCUC
rnacentral:lncRNA from 1 species